rnacentral:lncRNA from 1 species
AAGUUAGGGAGGAUACUUCAAAUUUGAUUUCCCCCGUCUCCUCUUUUCCUCCUUCUUCAAUGGGGUCACAUUGCGAUCACAAAGCAACAAUUUUUUGAUGACCGGAUGACUCACAAACUUUAUCCACUUGUGCUUCCAUUUUUUUCUUUUCUUCUUCUUUAGCCUUUUAGGAGCUUCCAUGGAAUCUUCCAUACUAACUUCCCUUUUUGGACCCACAUGAACCGAAUUUACCUGAAAGCUAUCGGAAAUAAUACUCAUCAAACCAAUUUCAAAUAUCUUCAUCACUUCAUUCUUCACCA